rnacentral:rRNA from 1 species
GAUGAACGCUGGCGGCGUGCCUAAUACAUGCAAGUCGAGCGAAUGAUGAGGAGCUUGCUCCUCUGAUUUAGCGGCGGACGGGUGAGUAACACGUGGGUAAUCUGCCUGUAAGACGGGGAUAACUCCGGGAAACCGGGGCUAAUACCGGACAACAAGAGAAGAAGCAUUUCUUCUUUUUGGAAGUCGGUUUUGGCUGACACUUACAGAUGAGCCCGCGGCCCAUUAGCUAGUUGGUGAGGUAACGGCUCACCAAGGCGACGAUGCGUAGCCGACCUGAGAGGGUGAUCGGCCACACUGGGACUGAGACACGGCCCAGACUCCUACGGGAGGCAGCAGUAGGGAAUCUUCGGCAAUGGGCGAAAGCCUGACCGAGCAACGCCGCGUGAGCGAUGAAGGCCUUCGGGUCGUAAAGCUCUGUUGUUAGAGAAGAACAAGUACGAGAGUAACUGCUCGUACCUUGACGGUACCUAACCAGAAAGCCACGGCUAACUACGUGCCAGCCGCCGCUGUAAAAC